GACGAAGGGGGCUAGCGUUGUUCGGAAUUACUGGGCGUAAAGCGCGUGUAGGCGGUUGUCCAAGUUGGAUGUGAAAGCCUUGAGCUCAACUCAAGAAAUGCAUUCAGGACUGGAUGACUAGAGGACCGGAGAGGAUAGUGGAAUUCCCAGUGUAGUGGUGAAAUACGUAGAGAUCGGGAGGAACACCGGUGGCGAAGGCGGCCUUCUGGACGGUGACUGACGCUGAGGCGCGAAAGCGUGGGGAGCAAACGGG
rnacentral:rRNA from 1 species